AGAAAAAAAAAAGCUUGUUAAGAGGAAAAACUAAAACUGGACACGAUGUACAUAGAGCACACAAGAUGCGAGUCAUCAGUUGUGAGAUGAUCAACAAAGGAAAUUAUAAUUCUAGCAUUCGUAUAGUAUUUGUCAUUUUUAAUGAGGAAGGGCUAGUCACUGUCUGUCAUGCCAACUAAAUGAAAGAUUUUAUGAACACAGUGCUACUUAGAUUAGCAUGCCAAGAUACUGGAUUAUAACAACCAAUUACUGGUGAAAAUGUUUUGCCAUCUCCAAAUAGAUGUGUAUAGAAUCAGGACAUGGAAAACAUUUGCUUACACCCGGAGAAAGAUUAUAUGUUGAUGACUAAUUCUCAUCCCAAGUCCCAACGCUAGGAAUUUACUAUCGAUGUUAUUAAAAACAAGUUCUCAUCCCCUUCCAGUCAAAUCACAAAAUUGUAGCAACAGUUUAUAGGAAAGACUAUAUUGAACUGUUGUCAAUAGUAAAAACAUUUCAAUCCACAAAAUUCAGCCGAUAGGUUCCAACAAAACUGAAGAUGAAAUAGGACAUCAGACCUAACCUUAAAACUAAGGCAAAUGGAGUGACUUGAU
rnacentral:misc_RNA from 1 species